GGUGGUAGUUUGUGGUGGUUCUGUUUCAAGAUUUGCAGUAGUCUUAUCCAACGAAGUUGUGACAAUAACCAACAACAGCAAAAACAUCAAGAAAAUACAAGAUAUUGGAAUCAUUGUCACAUUGCACUAUCACAUACAUAUAUAGACCAAUGAUGAGGAUGACAGUUAUCACACACUAUUCAAGGACUCAUAUGGUGAUUGGUCCUUUCCGAAGAUGUGUUCUUGAUUUUCCCCAACCUCCUGAGAGAGCAAAGUACGAAAUAAUAACAAAACGUAAUAAAAGAAAAGAAAGGAAACUGAAAGAGAGAAAUCUGCCCUUUGGUUAUGUAAAAAAGAUUCCAAUGUCGUUUGGCAGCAGCCUCCUAGAAGAUUAUUUUGCUUUUUGUUAAUUUUAGAUUUAAUGUUAAAAACUGCACGGAAUAGAAAAAAUGCCUUAAAAUGUGGAGUCCAAAUUUAAACUGUUUUGAUUAUUAUUUGUUUUAUAAAUUGGAUGGUGAUUUCAAUUUUCAUACAAGAUGUGUAUGUAUUUAUAGCCAUGAAAAUACACUCAUAAUGGAUGGAUAUACAAAUAAAUGAUUUUCAAUUUGAUUUAA
rnacentral:sRNA from 1 species